AAGUACGGUUCAGUAUACUAAAGCCCACGCCAUGACAAAACACACCUGGCAGUUAACUAAUGCACAGUAUGACAAAUAAAGGGUAUAAUUAAGCUUUCCUGACCAGUGCAGCCAAUGGCGAAUAUGCACUUUGUGCUGCUGUGAUUCUUGAGUCACAAGUCAUUGACCAAACAAAGCUGACCAAAUGUUAUAACACAACCUACCUCACUUCAAAUGGUUAUCUUAUUCCUGUUACACCAUGGUAAUGUACCAUACAUAACAAGAUUUUUUUUUUCGUCUCAAAAUAUUUAAUACUACCUCACAAAAGUUUCAAAUAUUAUUUCACUUUUUUAGUUUUAACAGUACAUCAAAUGUAUCAUGUUUAAUACCAAUACCAAUUACUUUUAAAUAACAUUUAUGGGCAAGUGGCUCAUCCCACAAGCUGAGGUGAGCUGCCUCAGCUGGUGGGGCUGAUACUAAUUUUGUUAGGAUAAUUUACUAAAUUAGAGAUGAUAGGUUACUAAUUUGGCAGUGCUAGCUUAAUCUUAAUGAUGAGAGGUUACUAAUUCAGUGCUGAGAGGUUAUUAUAUGUUAGGAGAGCCUGUUAGUUUAGAGUUAAUAUUUUCCACCUUCAUGAUGUACCUAACUAAGUGACAUAUAUUCUGCCCCAUAACCAUAGCAAGACAACAGAAAUGGCAUUUUUGGAGGAGUAAAAAUAAUCUAAUUAUUGACCAACUGAAGUGAAUUUAACUUUGCUACACAAGGCUAACAUCUGAAAACAAAAUAUGAUAGCCAUUGUGAGGAUAAGUUCCGCCACUGUGUCUCGUCUAAGAAUGUUAAUGAGAGAGGUUAAUGUUUUGCCGAUGAUAGGUUACGUCACUGUGUCUUAUCUUAGAAUGUUACUGAGAGAGGUUAAUAUUUUGCUGAUGAUAGGUUACGUCACUGUGCCUUGUCUUAGAAUGUUACUGAGAGAGGUUAAUAUUUUGCUGGUGAUAGGUUACGCCACUGUGUCUUGUCUUAGAAUGUUACUGAGAGAGGUUAAUAUUUUGCCGAUGAUAGGUUACGCCACUGUCUCGUCUUAGAAUGUUACUGAGAGAGGUUAAUAUUUUGCCUGCAAUAGGUUACACAACUGUGCCUCGUCUUAGAAUGUUACUGAGAUAGGUUAAUAUUUUGCUGGUGAUAGGUUGCGCCAGUGUCUCAUCUUUGAAUGUCAUUGAGAGAGGUUAAUAUUUUGCUGAUAGGUUACACCACUCUGUCGUCUUAGAAUGUUAAUGAGAUAGGUUAAUAUUUUCCCGGCAAUAGGUUACACCAUUGUAUCUUGUCCUAGUAUGUUAAUAAGAUAGGUUAGUAUUUUGGCAGUGAUAGGUUCCACCACUGUGUCUUGUCUUAGAUAGCUAUUGCGAGAGGUUAGUAUUUUGCCGGUGAUAGGUUCCACCACUGUCUUGUCUUAGAAAGUUAUUGAGAGAGGUUAGUAUUUUGCCGGUGAUAGGUUCCACCAUUGUCUCGUCUUAGAAAGUUAUUGAGAGAGGUUAGUAUUUUGCCGGUGAUAGGUUCCACCACUGUCUCGUCUUAGAAAGUUAUUGAGAGAGGUUAGUAUUUUGCCGGUGAUAGGUUCCACCACUGUCUCGUCUUAGAAAGUUAUUGAGAGAGGUUAGUAUUUUGCCGGUGAUAGGUUCCACCACUGUCUCGUCUUAGAAAGUUAUUGAGAGAGGUUAGUAUUUUGCCGGUGAUAGGUUCCGCCACUGUGUCUCGUCUUAGAAUGUUACUGCGAAAGAUGAAUGCUUUUGGGGUAAUAGGUUACUAUAUAUUAGAUUAAGGCAGGGGUCAAUUAGUUUAUAAAUAGUUCUAAAGUAAGGGUCAAGUACUAAGCAACUGACCACACUCUAUUACUUAUCAUUUUGUCUUUUGCAUAUACUUUUAUAGCUGGUCAUCAGUGAACAUAGUAAUAAGUAAUGAGGUAUAAGGAUGCACCCGCUAAGCUAUCAUUAUGCCCUUUCACAGAUUCUGGUUAGGGUAUGAAGAAAAGUGUGAAUUAUGAAGAAAAUGUGUGAAGUAUAAAGAAAAAUGAGGGCAUCUGAAGACAUAAAUACGUAGAAAACCUUUAUUCUGGCUUGUAUUAAUGGCAUAUAGAGAUCUGGGAGCACAAUUAAUGAGCUAUAUGAGCACACCAAAGCCUCGACUCCCUGGGCCACACCUAUUUAUCAUAACGUCAUUUUAUCCCUUCCAGAUCUCUACGGUAAGUUUGCAUUAUUCAUAUCAGGACAUCUGCGAACAGGCUGACUCUUAAGCGUUAUGAAAGUUUCACAAUAAUGCAUCAGUCAAGUGAAUGGGGAGGGUAAAAAAUUAACAUGUA